CCCUUAGAUGUUCUGGGCCGCACGCGCGCUACACUGAUUCAUGCAACAAGUUUUGUCCUUGGCUGAUAGGCCUGGGUAAUCUUUGAACGUGAAUCGUGAUGGGGAUAGAUGAUUGCAAUUAUUCAUCUUCAACGAGGAAUUCCUAGUAAACGCAAGUCAUCAGCUUGCAUUGAUUACGUCCCUGCCCUUUGUACGCACCGCCCGUCGCACCUACCGAUUGAAUGGUCCGGUGAAAUCUUCGGAUCUGAGAGAUGUCUGAUUAAUUUCGGACGCCUUUUGGAAAAGUUGCUUAAACCUUACCAUUUAGAGGAAGGUGAAGUCGUAACA
rnacentral:rRNA from 1 species